GUACACGCUGUGACUAGCAUAUCAAUAAGCGGAGGAAAAGAAACUAACAAGGAUUCCCCUAGUAACGGCGAGUGAAGCGGGAAGAGCUCAAAUUUGGAAUCUUAAAGGGUUUCCCUUUACGAAUUGUAGUUUAAAGAAGUGUUUUCUGUUGAGGUUUUGGUAAAAGUUCUUUGGAAUAGGACAUCAUAGAGGGUGAGAAUCCCGUAUUUGACCUUUACUUUCAACUUUGUGAUACACUUUCAAAGAGUCGGAUUGUUUGGGAAUGCAGUCCAAAAUGGGUGGUAAAUUUCAUCUAAAGCUAAAUAUUGGCGAGAGACCGAUAGCGAACAAGUACCGUGAGGGAAAGAUGAAAAGAACUUUGAAAAGAGAGUUAAACAGUACGUGAAAUUGUCAAAAGGGAAGCGUUUGACACCAGUGUUGUUUUUCUGAAAAUCAAUUAAAGAACUGUUUAUGCUAAGUUGUUUAGACUUUAUCAGCUAACUGUUUAGUUUUGAGCUUUUCUUUAAUGCACUUUUCAGUUAACAAGUCAACAUCAAUUUCUUUUGCUGUAAAAAAGCUUGAGGAAGGUGGCUUGAGAUUCGUCUUAAGUGUUUAUAGCCUCUUGCCUAUGCAGUCGGAGAGAUUGAGGUCUGCAGCGUAGAUCCUUCGGGGCUAAAUGCAUUUGUGCUAAGUUAUAGCAUUUUAUAGACAACUUGUUGACUAUGAUUUGUCUUGUAGCUUACUCGCUUAUGUUAUUUUACCUACGCUUAGGAUGUUGACGCGCGUGUGUGCGUG
rnacentral:rRNA from 1 species